UGGGGAAUAUUGGACAAUGGGCGAAAGCCUGAUCCAGCCAUGCCGCGUGUGUGAAGAAGGUCUUCGGAUUGUACAGCACUUUAAGUUGGGAGGAAGGGCAGUAAGCGAAUACCUUGCUGUUUUGACGUUACCGACAGAAUAAGCACCGGCUAACUCUGUGCCAGCAGCUGCGGUAAUACAGAGGGUGCAAGCGUUAAUCGGAAUUACUGGGCGUAAAGCGCGCGUAGGUGGUUCGUUAAGUUGAAUGUGAAAGCCCCGGGCUCAACCUCGGAACUGCAUCCAAAGCUUGCGAGCUAGAGUAGGGCAGAGGGUGGUGGAAUUUCCUGUGUAGCGAUGAAAUGCUUAGAGAUAGGAAGGAACACCAGUGGCGAAGGCGACCACCUGGGCUCAUACUGACACUGAGGUGCGAAAGCGUGGGGAGCAAACAGG
rnacentral:rRNA from 1 species